rnacentral:rRNA from 1 species
CUUGGUCAUUUAGAGGAAGUAAAAGUCGUAACAAGGUUUCCGUAGGUGAACCUGCGGAAGGAUCAUUAUUGAAAUUAUAGGCGAGGGUUGUAGCUGGCCUCUCGGGGCAUGUGCACGCCCGAGCCCUUAAUCCCACACACACCUGUGAACCUAUUGUAAGGGCCCGUAAAAAAGGCCUUUACGUCUUUAUCACCUACCCGAAGUCUCAUAGAAUGUAAACAUAUGUCCUCGCCUUAAAAAGCGUUGAUAAAAUUUAUACAACUUUCAACAACGGAUCUCUUGGCUCUCGCAUCGAUGAAGAACGCAGCGAAAUGCGAUAAGUAAUGUGAAUUGCAGAUUUUCAGUGAAUCAUCGAAUCUUUGAACGCACCUUGCGCUCCUUGGUAUUCCGAGGAGCAUGCCUGUUUGAGUGUCAUUAAAUUCUCAAACUCUGAUUGAUUUGUUUCAAUCGAGCUUUGGAUUUGGAGCGUGCCGGCGUCAGUCGGCUCCUCUUGAAUGCAUCAGCGGAAUCCCAUUCAUUUCGGACGUCAGUGUGAUAAUCAUGUUGUGCUGUCUUUACGAUCUUGAAAGCCCGCUCACAAUGGUCUUCGGACAAACCUCACUAUCAUAUUUGACCUCAAAUCAGGUAGGACUACCCGCUGAACUUAAGCAUAUCAAUAAGCGGAGGA